ensembl:lincRNA Gm44581 predicted gene 44581
GAAUGUACUACAAUAACCUCAGCCUGUCAGCCCUUCUCAGCCCUGUGGUGAUUUUUAGGAGAAAUGAAGUAUUCCCUCAAAUAAAGAAAGAAGAAAAAUAUGACUAAAAGUCAAUAAUCAAGAUCUGAACCAGUUAUCUACUUGGAGGAAAGUUCAUUUGGUGCUCAAACCAACAAAACCCUUAAUACAGGGUAGCUAUACAAGAGUCACACAAAUGUAGGGUUGGCACUCAAAAUUCAGCCAUAUUAUCCUACUCAAGACUGACUGAUUCAGGUCAGAAACUCCCCUACUUCUCACCAUAACCUUUCCUGAGUAACAACAGGUGCCAUUUUCAGCUGACAAAACUCUAAUGAACACAUUUCACUUCAUGACAUACUCUGCAGUGUCCAUCUCACCAUAUGCAGAGUUAUCUGAGAGAAAAUGGCUAUCUCACCUCUGAGCCCAGGAGUGUGAUUUUGGUGUGUGAAGGAUGACAUGAAUAAAUGAGGUUAUGUGGCAAGUUUGAAGAAUAAGCAUGACCCAAUGGUCAUGGAGAGUUCCAUUUUACCAUCAAAUAUGAUGCCUCUGCUAUCUCUGUAUAUCUAAUACAUCUUCAUUAGAGAGGAGUGAGGAUGAGCUAUGUGUGGCUUUCAGUCAUCUGAAACGAAUUCAUCACAUGGAGCUCAUCAACCAGAAGGGGACAGCAUGUAUUCAUAUUAAAAAUGUUUCCCAUUGCUUCUAGUCGCCAUCUGCAUCCGGAGCUUGGGCUGCUCCACAGCCCUCUGUGCACAGGGCCCACCAAGAGAAAGCUGGUCUCCCAGGAGUGCUCUCACUCCUAGGCUCAGAUGUGAGAAAGCCACUUUCUCUCCAAUAACUGUCCAGGGCUAGACAAGCAAGGAGCAUACAGGACACAGGAACAGUGGAGUGGCUGGGACAGGAUCCUUCUGGUCACCAUCUCCAUCCAGAGCUUGAGCUGUUCCAGGGAACUCUGUAUACAAGUUCGACCAGGAGAUAGCUGGUCUCCCAAAAGUACUCACAGGCUUACAGGCCGACAGGAGGGACAAGAUCUAGCCAGAGACAGCAAGACCAACUAACACCAGAGAUAAACAGAUGGACAAAGGCAAGUACAGGAACCAUACCAACAGAAAACAAGGCUACUUGGCAUCAUCAGAACCCAGUUCUGCCACCACAGCAAGUCCUGGAUAACCCAACACUCUAGAAAAAAGAAAUCUGGAUUUAAAAUCACAUCGCAUGAUGUUGAUAGAUUUUAAGAAGGACAUAAAUAACUCCCUUAAAGAAAUACGGGGGUUGGAUGUGGAGUCAGCGGACACUCCAUGCGAUCUAAGGACCUCUGGUGAGUGGAACACAACUUCUGCCAGGAGGCAGGUCUGAACGCCAGAUAUCUGGACACCUUCCCUGCAAGAGGUGAGCUUGCCUGCAGAGAGUGCUCUGACCAUUAAAACUCAGGAGAGAGCUAGUCUCCUAGGUCUGCUGACAGAGGCUAACAGAAUCAGGAGAGGAACAAGUCGUAACCAGAGAAAACUAUAACAACUAACUCCAGAGAAUACCAGAUGGUGAAAGGCAAACGUGAGAAUCUUACUAACAGAAAUCAAGACCACUCACCAUCAUCAGAACGCAGAACUCCCACCUCACCCAGUCCUGGGCACCCCAAUACACCCGAAAAGCUAGAACCGGAUUUAAAAGCAUAUCUCAU